rnacentral:lncRNA from 1 species
CACCCCUUCCAUCCAAUUCUGUCCCCCCUCCUCCCUUCUUCCUCUAGCCCCACCCCUUCCAUCCACCUCUGUCCCCCCUCUCCUCCCUUCUUCUUCUAGUCCCACCCCCUCCAUCAAUCUCAGACAGACACACACAAACAUACACAAGUCCUCAGCUGACAUGAAGCAGCUUCUAGGGACCCUGGCAGUGUCUCAAAUAGUAAAUCUAUAACGUUUAUAGUGCAUUACUUUUUAUUACCAGGGCAUUUAGGGUAGUAGUGCACUAUAUAGGGAAUAGGGUCCCAUUUGGAACACAACCAAUAGGCUUGUUGUUUACCUCUUUACAACAUGAACCCUUUCUGGUUCACACAUUUUAAUCUAAAUCGUAUGCUAAUGUGUUUGUGUGUGUCAGUCAGGACGAGACCAGAAGACAGAGGGUUGCGUUUUCUCUGUCUAUAAGCUGUGCACAUACACAUCUAUUUAUCUUGAUGUUCCGUCUGUAGGGGUGAUGGGGAUUAGGUUGUAUACUACACUGUCUGUAGGGGUGAUGGGGAUUAGGUUGUAUACUAUACUGUCUGUAGGGGUGAUAGGGAUUAGGUUGUAUACUAUACUGUCUGUAGGGGUGAUGGGGAUUAGGUUGUAUACUAUACUGUCUGUAGGGGUGAUGGGGAUUAGGUUGUAUACUGUCUGUAGGGGUGAUAGGGAUUAGGUUGUAUACUAUACUGUCUGUAGGGGUGAUGAGGAUUAGGUUGUAUACUAUACUGUCUGUAGGGGUGAUAGGGAUUAGGUUGUAUACUAUACUGUCUGUAGGGGUGAUGGGGAUUAGGUUGUAUACUAUACUGUCUGUAGGGGUGAUGGGGAUUAGGUUGUAUACUAUACUGUCUGUAGGGGUGAUGGGGAUUAGGUUGUAUACUAUGCUGUCUGUAGGGGUGAUGGGGAUUAGGUUGUAUACUAUACUGUCUGUAGGGGUGAUGGGGAUUAGGUUGUAUACUGUCUGUAGGGGUGAUGGGGAUUAGGUUGUAUACUAUACUGUCUGUAGGGGUGAUGGGGAUUAGGUUGUAUACUAUACUGUCUGUAGGGGUGAUAGGGAUUAGGUUGUAUACUGUCUGUAGGGGGAUGGGGAUUAGGUUGUAUACUAUACUGUCUGUAGGGGUGAUGGGGAUUAGGUUUUAUACUAUACUGUCUGUAGGGGUGAUGGGGAUUAGGUUGUAUACUAUACUGUCUGUAGGGGUGAUGGGGAUUAGGUUGUAUACUAUACUGUGUGUAGGGGGAUAGGGAUUAGGUUCUAUACUAUACUGUCUGUAGGGGUGAUGGGGAUUAGGUUUUAUACUAUACUGUCUGUAGGGGUGAUGGGGAUUAGGUUGUAUACUAUACUGUCUGUAGGGGUGAUGGGGAUUAGGUUUUAUACUAUACUGUCUGUAGGGGUGAUGGGGAUUAGGUUGUAUACUAUACUGUCUGUAGGGGUGAUGGGGAUUAGGUUCUAUACUAUACUGUCUGUAGGGGUGAUGGGGAUUAGGUUGUAUUCUAUACUGUCUGUAGGGGUGAUGGGGAUUAGGUUGUAUACUAUACUGUCUGUAGGGGUGAUAGGGAUUAGGUUGUAUACUAUACUGUCUGUAGGGGUGAUGGGGAUUAGGUUGUAUACUAUACUGUCUGUAGGGGUGAUGGGGAUUAGGUUGUAUACUAUACUGUCUGUAGGGGUGAUAGGGAUUAGGUUGUAUACUGUCUGUAGGGGUGAUAGGGAUUACAUGUGGAUCAUAGUAUUGGAAGAGUUUUUCUUCCACCAGGAGACUUCUAGUUAAAUCCUGUACUUCUAAUGUUAUAUUAUUGCAUCUUUCAGGGAAAUCGUAAAAUGAUGUUUCAUGACCGUGUAUGACCUUAGAGUCAAAUCCCGAUCCGUCCCGUACAGUUUACAGCUAUGGGACUACCCUGUUGUGCAUGACAACCACAAGCUCACUGAGUGGCGGUAGUUUAUGGAGUUAUAGAGGUGAGACACAUAGGCCCUGUAGACGCUUCAGUUUAAUUCUGUUAUUAUGUCAUUAUAAUGUGACUGCCACCUUGACCCUGUCCACCCUCACCUUCAGAAGAUCACCCCUUAUCUAAUUUACCUCC